rnacentral:piRNA from 1 species
UGGGUUUUUAGGGUAGCAGAGUUGGU